AUCAAAUAAUAUCCUCACUAGAAAAUCUAAAUAAAUCCCUCUAUUACACUACUGCAAUUUGCCAAUUCCAAUUUCCAUUCAUGAAAAACGCCAGUAGGUGGAUGUGAACGAGUCAUCGAGACGCUUACUGUGAACGCAUCGUGUGGUCGAAACAUAUAAAAGCGUUCCUCAGCGUUCUCCGUAAACAUUAAUGUAUGUGAAAUCGCGAGGUAACCAGCUGAUAUAAGAAAGUAGAAAAAAACCAAUACAAAACAACGUGGACAUUUUUCAGUGAUUACUCGACCAACAUACUCAUACUUGCAGAUAUAAGAAAGGAAAUAAAUACAUUAUCAUAUAAAAAUGAAAUUGAACGUGCAAAGCGUAGUAGUGUUCUUUCUGUCCGUUUGGAUGUUGACCUCCAUUCUGUUGACAAGGUCAACGGUCAAGGGUUUCUCGAUACCUCAUGUGAAGAGCCAAUCCGUGGAUGCUUGCCAGUACAGCUGCGGGUCGGACGUCUACAAAUGUGACUUACGGUGUAAAUAUUGGAAGGAUCUGAGGGGGAUAGGACUGAAAAAAUGCCAGUCUAGAUGCGGUGAUAUGUUUUUAGACUGUUUUAUCUCGUGCUAUAACUUCUAAACUCAACAAAAAACUACAAUUUAAGAUCAGUAUUUGACUACGCUCAUGUUCAAAGGUCGCAGAAUCUUAUCAUACAAUCAAAGCACGCAUAUCUAUUUUUGGACUUUUUAUGGCAUUAAUUUCAAAGACCAUUGUUCUGGACCUUAAUGAUUUACGACAUAGGUACACCUUGCAGUUCUAAGAAUGAAAAAUAAUAAAGAAUCUUGUUAUUACCAGGCAUCAUGGGUUGUUAACGAGCAAUUUCUCUGUCACGUCUAUUUUUUGAUGUUCUUGUAUAAAACUCAUUCAAUAGACGAAACAUGGAUGAAUUAUAAUGAAGGCACAACUAUAAAUAUCGUAAUUGUGGCCAUGUGGUGGGCCGAUGGCAAUAAAUAUGCGAUGGAUGUAGUUAUAAGCCGGGAGUUCUCGAUGACCCGCGGUUAUAUCCUGACGGGAGAUCAAAAUGUAGACUAAAAAUAAACACAGAUGAAAUGCAAUAAAGGGAAGGAAUAACACAAGAAAAAAAA